AAAAGGAAAAACGUUGUGACGUUCCAAUUCUUCAGACUCUCUCUCUAUCGCAUCUCCCUCUCUCGUUCACUCUAACUCUUAAACCUCACCGGAAAUCGCUCCGCCGCGCCGGAGGCGGCGGAGCUCGCUCAAACCCAAAAUUAAAAUCGCCAAUCAACUCGUCUCCACCUCCUCUUAUCAAAAAUCAAUUCGGUUUCUCAAGAUCCUCUUUCAAACUCUCCUAAUCAGAAUAACUAGGAAACCCUAGAUCUAACCAAAAGCUCAAAUAAACAAAAAUGGAGACGAAUGAAAGCACAAGAAUAUAGGGGAAAGAGAUAGCGAGAUGUAUACAACGAUUUCUGUAACAGAGGAAAGUUUAGGAUUACCUACCGGAGCAGUUCCGGCGACUCUUCAGUUGCGAUUACGAAGAUGAGAAAACUAAAGGAACUUCGAAUUUGCAGGAUUUUGUUUGUGUUUGAAUAUGUGAUGUGGGACUGUUUUGGCUGGAAGUUUAUGGUGAAUGUAUGUUAAAUAUACAGUGGUUCGCAAGCCAUAUGAUGGAAACAUAUUGAAUGUAGAUAAUUGUUGGUAUACUCUGACUUGCAACUGGUUCCAAGCCGUGGGGACAAAUAGACAUGGAGUUCCACAUAAUCGUAAAGUCACUUUUGUAUGAGAUUCUUGCACAUGAAGCAAUUUGAAACUUGAAGAUCACACUGGAGUUAAAGCUUGAAGAUUGAAAGAGGGAAGGAGGGAUGCAUCUGCUGCAUUUUUUUUGGGACUGAAUUUGAUUCAAAAGUAGUUUGUUGUUAGGAUAGGAAUUGUUAGGUGGUUAGAGGUUAGUGAUUGAAUAUAUAUUUAUGAAUGUGACUUGCAUAUGUAUUAUGAACGUAUUUUCUGUAUGACUUGUAAUAGGAUUUGAAAUGUAAUGAUCUUUUCUGGUUUGUAACAUAAUCAUUAUGGAAGUUCAAAGCAACAUGGAAUAACAAGAACAAUCAUGUAGAAUUGAAUGUAAACAUGAAGGGAUUUGGACUA